UACGUAGGGGGCAAGCGUUGUCCGGAAUUAUUGGGCGUAAAGCGCACGUAGGCGGUUUGUUAUGUCGGAUGUGAAAGCCCUUGGCUUAACUGAGGAAGUGCAUCCGAAACUGGCAAGCUAGAGUACUAAAGAGGGUCGCGGAAUUCCCGGUGUAGAGGUGAAAUUCGUAGAUAUCGGGAGGAACACCGGUGGCGAAGGCGGCGACCUGGGUAGAUACUGACGCUGAGGAGCGAAAGCGUGGGGAGCGAACAGG
rnacentral:rRNA from 1 species